AAACCAUGAUGAGGGCAGUCUCUCUCAUAUGAUUUAAAUCAUUCCCAAACCUCAUAGAAUGAUUCUAUUGGGCCUUGUUGGAAACCUUGUAUCUUGUUUCUCAGCU
rfam:Eutrema salsugineum unplaced genomic scaffold scaffold_4, whole genome shotgun sequence.